rnacentral:lncRNA from 1 species
GGGGAAGACCAAGGAGGCAGUCUUCCACAAUUCUCCUAUGUUGGGAGAUUUGGUUUCAAAAUCGCAGAUCCAGAUUCCAUGUCCAGAGAAAAAGAGAACCUGAUGAUAAAGACUUCGAACAGAGACAAGACCAGGAACAGGAUCUCUGGGUUGAGAGAGUUCAAGGGCCAGAGCAAGAUGGAUAGACAUUCAGUAAGUUUGGUGUCUUCAGCUUGGGCUCUGAAUCUCUCUCACUCUUCUUGAGAACAUAUCUUUACAUACCUUCAGUUUUUCCAGAAGCUGAACCUGCUGGAGAUGGUAAACAGAACUUCAGGAGGCAGAGACAGACACAUAACAUCAC